rnacentral:lncRNA from 1 species
CUUCCCCCACCCAUUUUUUUUAAGCUAAGAGCCAAAUAUAUGCUGAGAUUUUGAAGUGAAAACACUCUCCCAAAGUUUAUUCAAGCACCCACCAUAUUUACUUCAUCUUUAAAACCUUCGAUUCUUCAUAUACUUCGUUAUAUACACAAGGUUUUAAACCCCGAGGCUUCGUACCACCCAACCUAGCCUAAUCUCGCCUAGCUCAUUUUCAUACCACUCUUUUUGUCCUCCCGAAGGGCUCUCCAAAGUUCGUGUGCAAAGCCAAAAUCCGGUCGAACCUCUGACGAAUUUUUCCGGCGAACUUUUUGUAAGUGGUUAUUUUAGCUUCGUUUUUACUCGUGUCUUAACCGACCAUCUUUGACAAAGGGCUUUUGAACAAAAAUAUUCUCUUCAUCUUUAAAGCUCUCUUUGUUUACAAAACGCACGAGUUAGCCACUCGUUAUAUAUUUGUGCGUGUGUUUUGUCCCGGAACCUAACUCGUAUCCUUUGAGAUUUCCUCACCAAACUUUGGAGGGAUCUUUGCCUUGGCACGGAAAGCCGGAUAUAAGGCCAAAGGUAAUAAGUUAGUUAUUGUUGUGCGUGUUAUUUGUGCUUAACUGAUUAUAUCCCUACGCCCAACAUACCCUUUCUCGUUUGGUGAACGUUUCCAUAUGUGCCGUGCUUCGUGGAAAUACUAACCUUACGAGUUUAGCGGUUCCCGAUCCCGUGUGUGUGAGUGUGAUUAUCGACUGCGUCUUAUAUCUAUAAAUCACUCCACACUAAUUAAUAUAACUCUCGUAGCUUGCCCGUACGCGGUUUGCUCAGGUUAUUAAAAUCAAUCCGACUUAAAAUCAACUAUUUAUAUUUUCCGCGCAAUAUAAAUUGUUGGACUGUUGUUGGACACUUGUUGGACUAAUCACCGUUGGACUUGUUAUAAUUGACAAACCUUAUACCUGACCGUGAUUAUUGGACUGACUUAGCGGACUAAAAUCUUAUUAAAACAAGGAUAUAUUUUCGUAGAUAUUGUGUUCUAACUUUUGCAGUGAGGUGAAGUGAAGUGAGGUGAUCUUCGUUCUAAGACCCAAGUCCUUGACGUAUUGACGGGGAGUUAAUAGUCAUUGCACCGUGAAGAAGAGGAAAGACCCGAGAUCUAAUACCUAAGACCCGAGACCGGCAAAAGGUGUAGAAGUACAAAGACUACACAAGGUUCUACAUCGACUUUGAGGAAGUAACGGGGAGUUACGUUCCGAGACAAGCUUUGUAGGUGUUUUUACAUUUAUAGUGAGGAGGUAACGGGAAGUUACGCUCCAAGAUAUAUAUUUGUAAAGGCUUCUCCGCCUACUUUAAAGGAGUAUCUUUUUAGUAGAGAAAAUCUCGAGUCCGGG